CUGGCCAUCAGGUCUACCCAGUGCAAACUGGCCAUCAGGUCUACCCAGUGGGAACUGGCCACCAGGUCUACCCAUGGGAACGGGACACCAGGUCUACCCAGUGCAAACUGGCCAUCAGGUCUACCCAGUGGGAACUGGCCACCAGGUCUACCCAGUAGGAACUGGCCAUCAGGUCUACCCAAGGCAACUGGCCACCGGGUCUACCCAGUAGGAACUGGUCACCAGGUCUACCCAGUAGGAACUGGCCACCGGGUCUACCCAGUAGGAACUGGCCAUCAGGUCUACCCGGGGGAACUGGACACCGGGUCUACCCAGUAGGAACUGGCCACCAGGUCUACCCAUAGGAACUGGCCACCGGGUCUACCCAGUAGGAACUGGCCAUCAGGUCUACCCGGGGGAACUGGACACCAGGUCUACCCAGUGGGAAUGGGCCACCAGGUCUACCCAGGGGAACUGGCCACCAGGUCUGCCCAGUAGGAACUGGCCACCAGGUCUACCCAAUAGGAACUGGCCACCGGGUCUA